CACGUAGGGUGCGAGCGUUGUCCGGAAUUAUUGGGCGUAAAGAGCUCGUAGGCGGUGUGUCGCGUCGGCCGUGAAAACCUGCAGCUUAACUGUGGGCUUGCGGUCGAUACGGGCAUCACUGGAGUUCGGCAGGGGAGACUGGAAUUCCUGGUGUAGCGGUGAAAUGCGCAGAUAUCAGGAGGAGCACCGGUGGCGAAGGCGGGGUCUCUGGGGCCGAUACUGACGCUGAGGAGCGAAAGCGUGGGGAGCGAACAGG
rnacentral:rRNA from 1 species